GAUGAACGCUGGCGGCGUGCCUAACACAUGCAAGUCGAACGAAGCUUGACGGAUGAUUUCUUCGGAAUGAAACCAGAUAUGACUUAGUGGCGGACGGGUGAGUAACACGUGAGCAACCUGCCUUUCAGAGGGGGAUAACGGCUGGAAACGGUCGCUAAUACCGCAUGAUGUGUUCGGAUGGCAUCAUCUGAACAUCAAAGAUUUAUCGCUGAAAGAUGGGCUCGCGUCUGAUUAGAUAGUUGGUGGGGUAACGGCCUACCAAGUCUACGAUCAGUAGCCGGACUGAGAGGUUGAACGGCCACAUUGGGACUGGGAUACGGCCCAGACUCCUACGGGAGGCAGCAGUGGGGAAUAUUGCACAAUGGGGGAAGCCCUGAUGCAGCAACGCCGCGUGAAGGAUGACGGUUUUCGGAUUGUAAACUUCUUUUCUUAGUGACGAAGACAGUGACGGUAGCUAAGGAAUAAGCAUCGGCUAACUACGUG
rnacentral:rRNA from 1 species